AGAGUUUGAUCCUGGCUCAGGAUGAACGCUAGCGGCAGGCCUAAUACAUGCAAGUCGAACGGUAACAUGAGAGCUUGCUCUUGAUGACGAGUGGCGCACGGGUGCGUAACGCGUAUGCAACCUACCCUUUACUGGGGGAUAGCCCGAAGAAAUUCGGAUUAAUACCCCAUGGUACCAUAAAGUAGCAUUACUUAAUGGUUAAAGAUUUAUUGGUAAAGGAUGGACAUGCGUGACAUUAGUUAGUUGGUAAGGUAACGGCUUACCAAGACGAUGAUGUCUAGGGGUUCUGAGAGGAAGGUCCCCCACACUGGUACUGAGACACGGACCAGACUCCUACGGGAGGCAGCAGUAGGGAAUAUUGGUCAAUGGACGCAAGUCUGAACCAGCCAUGCCGCGUGCAGGAUGACAGCUUUCUGAGUUGUAAACUGCUUUUAUAUAGGAACAAAUAGGCCAUGCGUGGCAAGUUGCGUGUACUAUAUGAAUAAGCACCGCUAACU
rnacentral:rRNA from 1 species